GCCUGGGUGGCUUGGUCGGUGAAGCAUCUGGCUUCGGCUCAGGUCAUGAUCUCACAAUCCGUGAGUUCAAGCCCCGCAUCAGGCU
rfam:Felis catus isolate Cinnamon breed Abyssinian chromosome E2, whole genome shotgun sequence.